AGAGUUUGAUCAUGGCUCAGGAUGAACGCUGGCGGCGUGCCUAAUACAUGCAAGUCGAGCGGUAAGGCUCCUUCGGGAGUACACGAGCGGCGGACGGCUGAGUAACGCGUAGGAACGUACCCCAAACUGAGGGAUAACUGCUCGAAAGAGUAGCUAAUACCGCAUGUGCUCUACGGAGUAAAGCUACGGCGGUUUGGGAACGGCCUGCGUACGAUUAGAUGUUGGUGAGGUAAUGGCUCACCAAGUCGACGAUCGUUAGCUGGUCUGAGAGGAUGAUCAGCCAGACUGGGACUGAGAACGGCCCAGACUCCUACGGGAGGCAGCAGUAGGGAAUUUUCCACAAUGGACGAAAGUCUGAUGGAGCAACGCCGCGUGCAGGAUGAAGCCUUCGGGUUGUAAACUGCUUUUAUCUGUGACGAAUAUGACGGUAGCAGAUGAAUAAGGAUCGGCUAACUCCGUGCCAGCAGCCGCGGUCAUACGGAGGAUCCAAGCGUUAUCCGGAAUUACUGGGCGUAAAGAGUUGCGUAGGUGGCAGAGUAUGUCUGUAGUGAAAGCGUGUGGCUCAACCAUAUACACAUUACAGAAACUGCUCAGCUAGAGGGCGAGAGAGGUUACUAGAAUUCCUAGUGUAGGAGUGAAAUCCGUAGAUAUUAGGAGGAAUACCGAUGGCGUAGGCAGGUAACUGGCUCGUCCCUGACAUAAGGCACGAAAGCGUGGGUAGCAAACGGGAUUAGAUACCCCGGUAGU
rnacentral:rRNA from 1 species